rnacentral:hammerhead_ribozyme from 1 species
GUGCUGAUGAAGAGUCCCAAACUAGGACGAAACGGCUGUCAAGUAU